rnacentral:rRNA from 1 species
UACAGAGGGUGCAAGCGUUGUUCGGAAUUAUUGGGCGUAAAGGGUGCGUAGGCGGUUUGAUAAGUCUGAUGUGAAAUCUAUGGGCUCAACCCAUAGCCUGCAUUAGAAACUGUCGGGCUUGAGUAUGGGAGAGGUGAGUGGAAUUUCCGGUGUAGCGGUGAAAUGCGUAGAUAUCGGAAGGAACACCUGUGGCGAAAGCGGCUCACUGGACCAUUACUGACGCUGAUGCACGAAAGCUAGGGGAGCAAACAGG